rnacentral:rRNA from 1 species
AUACGGAGGGUGCAAGCGUUAAUCGGAAUUACUGGGCGUAAAGCGCGCGUAGGCGGUUUAGUCAGUCAGAUGUGAAAGCCCCGGGCUUAACCUGGGAACUGCAUUUGAUACUGCUGAACUAGAGUAUGGUAGAGGGAAGUGGAAUUCCGGGUGUAGCGGUGAAAUGCGUAGAUAUCCGGAGGAACACCAGUGGCGAAGGCGACUUCCUGGACCAAUACUGACGCUGAGGUGCGAAAGCGUGGGUAGCAAACAGGAUUAGAUACCCUAGUAGUCC